UGGUAGCCGAAGUUAGUCCAAGAAGGAGUUUUAGCAAAUGGGUGUUAUUCAUUUCUAGUGACUUGUGAUCCCUAUUAGAUUAGAGCAGUGAGAAAAGAUAAGAUAUCAAGAAGAACUUUUAAAAGUGUAGGAGAGACAAAGAACAGAGAAGUAAGAUCUAGGUACAGUGUGAGAGAGACGGUGAAUAUUGUUGGGUUUUUUUUUUUUUUUUCAAAUAUUGUUGGGUUUAAUGAAAGCCGAGUUUAGGAUUUUCAUGCAAAAGUGUGAGGGG
rnacentral:misc_RNA from 1 species